GCUACGGGAGGCAGCAGUGAGGAAUAUUGGUCAAUGGACGCGAGUCUGAACCAGCCAAGUAGCGUGAAGGAUGACUGCCCUAUGGGUUGUAACCUUCUUUUAUAAAAGAAUAAAACGAGGCACGUGUGCCUUUUUGCAUGUACGUUAUGAAUAAGGAUCGGCUAACUCCAUGCCAACAGCUGCGGUAAUACGGAGGAUCCGAGCGUUAUCCGGAUUUGUUGGGUUUAAAGGGAGCGUAGAUGGGUUGUUAAGUCAGUUGUGAAAGUUUGGGGCUCAACCGUAAAAUUGCAAUUGAUACUGGCAGUCUUGAGUACAGUUGAGGUAGGCGGAAUUCGUGGUGUAGCGGUGAAAUGCUUAGAUAUCACGAAGAACCCCGAUUGCGAAGGCAGCUUACUAGACUGUGACUGACAUUGAUGCUCGAAAGUGUGGGUAUCAAACAGGAUUAGAUACCCUUGUAGUC
rnacentral:rRNA from 1 species